UGAUUUUACCCGCUGAACUUAAGCAUAUCACUAAGCGGAGGAAAAGAAACUAACCAGGAUUCCCUUAGUAACGGCGAGUGAACAGGGAAAAGCCCAGCACCGAAGCCUGUGGUCGUUUGGCCCCUAGGCAAUGUGGUGUUCAGGUUAGCUCGCGAAGAUGCUGCUCCACCCUAAGUCCUAUAAUGAGUAAGGUUACUCGGACAUGGCCCAAUGAGGGUGAAAGGCCCGUGGGGGUGGAGAUUCAGAAUGGCCAGUAUCUUCCUGAGCGGACCUUGGAGUCGGGUUGUUUGUGAAUGCAGCCCAAAGCGGGUGGUAAACUCCAUCCAAGGCUAAAUACUAGCACGAGUCCGAUAGCGAACAAGUACC
rnacentral:rRNA from 1 species